UCCCUGGUGGUCCGAUGGUUCAGACUCUGAUCUUCCAAUGCAGGGGGCCUGGGUUCGAUUCCCGGUCAGGGAA
rnacentral:tRNA from 1 species